CAAAGCACUUGGUGCUACCAAGUUUUCCGCCGUUAGAUCUACCCUUGUGAUCAUUUUCACCCGUUAGAUCAUACUAUUCAAUCAACCACCCACUCAACCCUAGGGGGCCCACAUUAUCCUAACCACACAUCUCUUAAUCCAAUGGCCAAAAACUUGGUAGCACCAGUGACUUGGUGCUAUUAAUAGCAUAGUAGCCUAGUUCUAUAUAUAUAUAUAUAUAUAUAUAUAUAUAUCAAAUCAUAUUAUGGGACUUUAAAUUAAAAAUGAAAGCUUUAAACAUAUUAAUUAU
rnacentral:lncRNA from 1 species